AAUAAACGAAUUUACGUGUAUUUUUAGAAUUUUUGAUUUUUUAUCUUAUUUGAAAUUUUUUUAUGUUUAAUAUUUUUAUUGUUAUUACAUAAUAAAACAUGAAUAGUAUUUUAAAUAUGACUAAUUUUUUAAUUUUUUAAUAAAAUUUUCAAAUAAGAUGGAUGAUCAAACGCUCAGCCCGAAAAACC
rnacentral:pre_miRNA from 1 species